rnacentral:misc_RNA from 1 species
GAUGAGAACGCAGCGAAAUGCGAUAAGUAAUGCGAAUUGCAGAAUUUCCGUGAGUCAUCGAAUCUUUGAACGCACAUUGCGCCCACUGGUAUUCCGGUGGGCAUGCCUGUUCGAGCGUCAUUAUCCUCCCUCAAACCCCGGGUUUGGUGUUGGACCCAAGUUGUGUGAACAACUGGUCUCAAAGACAAUGACGGCGUCCGUGGGACCCUCGGUGCAACGAGCUUUUAGGAGCACGCAUCGAGUUGCAAGGACCUUCCGGGCCGGUCUCCUUUACCAUUUUACAAGGUUGACCUCGGAUCAGGUAGGAAUACCCGCUGAACUUAAGCAUAUCAAUAAGCGGAGGA